rnacentral:rRNA from 1 species
UAGGGAAUCUUCCACAAUGGGCGCAAGCCUGAUGGAGCAACACCGCGUGAGUGAAGAAGGGUUUCGGCUCGUAAAGCUCUGUUGUUAAAGAAGAACACGUAUGAGAGUAACUGUUCAUACGUUGACGGUAUUUAACCAGAAAGUCGCGGCUAACUACGUGCCGG